AGCGAACGCUGGCGGCAGGCUUAACACAUGCAAGUCGAACGGGCCCUUCGGGGCUAGUGGCAGACGGGUGAGUAACACGUGGGAACGUACCUUUCGGUUCGGAAUAAUUCAGGGAAACUUGGACUAAUACCGGAUACGCCCUUCGGGGGAAAGAUUUAUCGCCGAUAGAUCGGCCCGCGUCUGAUUAGCUAGUUGGUGAGGUAACGGCUCACCAAGGCGACGAUCAGUAGCUGGUCUGAGAGGAUGAUCAGCCACAUUGGGACUGAGACACGGCCCAAACUCCUACGGGAGGCAGCAGUGGGGAAUAUUGGACAAUGGGCGCAAGCCUGAUCCAGCCAUGCCGCGUGAGUGAUGAAGGCCUUAGGGUUGUAAAGCUCUUUUGUCCGGAAAGAUAAUGACUGUACCGGAAGAAUAAGCCCCGGCUAACUUCGUGCCAGCCGCCGCAGUAAUAC
rnacentral:rRNA from 1 species